rnacentral:rRNA from 1 species
UACGGAGGGUGCGAACGUUAAUCGGAAUUACUGGGCGUAAAGCGCGCGUAGGCGGAUAGGUAAGUGGGAUGUGAAAGCCCUGGGCUCAACCUGGGAACUGCAUUCCAAACUGCCUACCUAGAGUUUGGUAGAGGGAGGUGGAAUUUCCUGUGUAGCGGUGAAAUGCGUAGAUAUAGGAAGGAACACCAGUGGCGAAGGCGGCCUCCUGGACCAAAACUGACGCUGAGGUGCGAAAGCGUGGGGAGCAAACAGG